CCUACGGGAGGCAGCAGUGAGGAAUAUUGGUCAAUGGGCGCGAGCCUGAACCAGCCAAGUCGCGUGAAGGAUGACUGCCCUAUGGGUUGUAAACUUCUUUUAUAAAAGAAUAAAGUGAGGCACGCGUACCUUUCUGUAUGUACUUUAUGAAUAAGGAUCGGCUAACUCCGUGCCAGCAGCCGCGGUAAUACGGAGGAUCCGAGCGUUAUCCGGAUUUAUUGGGUUUAAAGGGAGCGUAGGCGGGUUGUUAAGUUAGUUGUGAAAUUUUGCGGCUCAACCUUAGAAUUGCAAUUGAUACUGUCAGGCUUGAGAGCAGUUGAGGUAGGCGGAAUGCGUGGUGUAGCGGUGAAAUGCUUAGAUAUCACGAAGAACACCGAUUGCGAAGGCAGCUUACUAAGCUGCCACUGACGUUGAGGCUCGAAAGUGUGGGUAUCAAACAGGAUUAGAUACCCGGGUAGUC
rnacentral:rRNA from 1 species